rnacentral:lncRNA from 1 species
UGGAGUGUCACAGGUUCCCAUACAGAAUGGUGGCCCCGGUGCCUGUCAGCGGGCCUCGGAGCUGGAGCUGGAGUGGUUCACGGAGCCGGGUGAGAUGUUAUCACAGGGACACAGCCAUCACUAGAUCACAGCGAGGAUAAAGGACAGCAGCUGAGAGCUUCUGUUAUGACUUUCACGUACUGAUAUUUUAACCGAAGAGGCUGUUUGUGAUUUCAGUGGAUAGAAUCAAAUGAUGCCCCGUUUUAAUCCAAUUCUAUAACCAGCUUUAUUUAUUUGAUGAUUUCUUACUACCAAAAA